rnacentral:rRNA from 1 species
UUAGAGUUUUGUUCAUGGCUCAGAACGAACGCUGGCGGCGUGCCUAACACAUGCAAGUCGAGCGCGAAUAGGGGCAACCCUUAGUAGAGCGGCGCACGGGUGCGUAACACGUGGAUAAUCUGCCUGGAUGCCUGGGAUAACCAGUCGAAAGAUUGGCUAAUACCGGAUAAGCCCACGGUUUCUUCGGAGACUGAGGGAAAAGGUGGCCUCUGUAUACAAGCUAUCACAACCAGAUGAGUCCGCGGCCCAUCAGCUAGUUGGCGGGGUAAUGGCCCACCAAGGCAACGACGGGUAGCUGGUCUGAGAGGACGAUCAGCCACACUGGAACUGAGACACGGUCCAGACUCCUACGGGAGGCAGCAGUGGGGAAUUUUGCGCAAUGGGCGAAAGCCUGACGCAGCAACGCCGCGUGUGUGAUGAAGGUCUUUGGAUUGUAAAGCACUUUCGACCGGGACGAAACCGUAAAGCCUAAUACGCUUUGCCUUGACGGUACCGGGAGAAGAAGCACCGGCUAACUCUGUGCCAGCAGCCGCGGUAAUACAGAGGGUGCAAGCGUUGUUCGGAAUUAUUGGGCGUAAAGCGCGUGUAGGCGGCUUUGCAAGUCGGGUGUGAAAGCCCUCAGCUCAACUGAGGAAGUGCGCCCGAAACUGCAGAGCUUGAGUGCCGGAGAGGGUGGCGGAAUUCCCCAAGUAGAGGUGAAAUUCGUAGAUAUGGGGAGGAACACCGGUGGCGAAGGCGGCCACCUGGACGGUAACUGACGCUGAGACGCGAAAGCGUGGGUAGCAAACAGGAUUAGAUACCCUGGUAGUCCACGCCGUAAACGAUGAGAACUAGGUG